UGUGAGGGGAGCGGCAGCGGGGGGCGAUGGAGGAGGGCGGGGGCUGCUGCGGCUGAAGGGGAGCGGGGAACGGGGGUCCGGGACAUCCCCGAGGAGAGCGGGAGCGGGCACGGAGCCGGGAAGGAGCUGCGGGGCCGGGGCCGCCCGGCAGAGCCUUUCCCGGGAAGCAAAACCUGCGGUUUCUCCCGCCUUGGCCCCGUGGCCGAUGCAGCAGCAUCUGAGCAGAUCUGUGCAGCCUAAAGUACAAAUGAAGAAGAUAUUGGGAGUACCUGUUUGUUCACCUGUUGUGCUUGGAAGAGAUGUGAAACUGCAGGGAAGCUGCGCUCGCCGUAGUGACCGGAGGGAGAAGCACCUUGUACAGCUCAUCCAUCUUGCUGGCCCCUGGCGUCGUCCUUUCCCCUCUGGCUCCUUGUUUCCCUCUUGUCCAAUCAAGGACAGAAUCCCUCUGUCCUUGCUGUGUGUUCUGCGCUCAGAAAUUAUAAAAUAAUUUAAUAUAUUAAAUAUAUUUUAAUAUCUGUUAUGUAUUAUGUGUAUAAAUAAAGAACAUCAAUAUGAUAGAAAUAAAUAUUAGAAAUAUUUAAAUCAA